AUCGCUUCUCGGCCUUUUGGCUAAUAUCAAGUGUAGUAUCUGUUCUUAUCAGUUUAACUGUGACCUGCUGAAAGACAUCGGUGACUGUCAGACAUGCUUGAGUCUCCUCUUUGGCAGUUUAAUUGCAAUGUCAUGCAUUUUUCACUCUGUUCUUAUAACGUCCUAUUUUACUCUGCAGACAUGGAAUCUAACAA